UUCCUCUCCUUCAUAUGGUUAAAGAGACGUCAACGUGAAGGAGCUAAUUUUCCCACUUGGAGGAGUGGAUCACAAAGUGGCAUCCUGUAAUUCUGCAAAAUAAUUUAAUGGGCAAUAUGUGAAGAAGAAAAGGGCAGGCGCUUGCAGCAAGAAGGCUCUUCUGCACAUGUCAUCCGACAAAGAACGGGCAUGCAAAGGUCUUCCCGCUAUUUUCAGGCAUCCCACAUGCUAAUUAUAAUGAGUGGUAUUGUCAUCUGGCUUCCCGUACACA